AACCAGCUGUGACAGCACACUGCCCUUUGAGAGAUAUUUUGUUGGGCAACAGAUCAGUGCUGGAGGUCAAAAGAGCAACAGUAAGAGAUGUAUUGUGUUCCCUGGAGCUCCCUGAGGUUUCAGUGUGGAGUAGUCCUUAAAGUGUCCUGGGAAUCCUUCUUCUGGUUAGUUCUGUAAGAUAACUACCAUCUAGAAGGUGUGCUUGUGCUUUGCUGGAUCGGGACCCAGGUCCUCACUUGAAUCUCAGCACAGCCUUUGAUACCACUGGGUAUAGCAGAAUACCUCUCCACUUGGCAAGAGGACUCUUCAGCAGAUAAACUACAACUCAAGGCUCACUGGGUCUGCUGCUUUCAG